rnacentral:sRNA from 12 species
GUAAAAAUAAGAAAGCAUCGAAAUAAUUCGCAAAGGCGAAAUCUGCUGGUAGCAGAAA